rnacentral:antisense_RNA from 1 species
ACCAAUGCGUCGUCAUUUCCGGCUUCAAUUUCAGCCU